GAUGAACGCUGGCGGCGUGCCUCAUACAUGCAAGUCGAGCGAACAGACGAGGAGCUUGCUCCUCUGACGUUAGCGGCGGACGGGUGAGUAACACGUGGAUAACCUACCUAUAAGACUGGGAUAACUUCGGGAAACCGGAGCUAAUACCGGAUAAUAUUUUGAACCGCAUGGUUCAAUAGUGAAAGACGGUUUUGCUGUCACUUAUAGAUGGAUCCGCGCCGCAUUAGCUAGUUGGUAAGGUAACGGCUUACCAAGGCAACGAUGCUUAGCCGACCUGAGAGGGUGGUCGGCCACACUGGAACUGAGACACGGUCAAGACUCCUACGGGAGGCAGCAGUAGGGAAUCUUCCGCAAUGGGCGAAAGCCUGACGGAGCAACGCCGCGUGAGUGAUGAAGGUCUUCGGAUCGUAAAACUCUGUUAUUAGGGAAGAACAAAUGUGUAAGUAACUAUGCACGUCUUGACGGUACCUAAUCAGAAAGCCACGGCUAACUACGUG
rnacentral:rRNA from 1 species